rnacentral:rRNA from 1 species
GUGGGGAAUAUUGGACAAUGGGCGCAAGCCUGAUCCAGCCAUGCCGCGUGAGUGAUGAAGGCCUUAGGGUUGUAAAGCUCUUUCAGUGGGGACGAUAAUGACGGUACCCACAGAAGAAGCCCCGGCUAAUUUCGUGCCAGCAGCCGCGGUAAUACGAAGGGGGCUAGCGUUGUUCGGAUUUACUGGGCGUAAAGCGCACGUAGGCGGAUCGUUAAGUCGGGGGUGAAAUCCUGGAGCUCAACUCCAGAACUGCCUUCGAUACUGGCGAUCUUGAGUACGGAAGAGGUGAGUGGAACUCCUAGUGUAGAGGUGGAAUUCGUAGAUAUUAGGAAGAACACCAGUGGCGAAGGCGGCUCACUGGUCCGGUACUGACGCUGAGGUGCGAAAGCGUGGGGAGCAAACAGGAUUAGAAACCCCAGUAGUCC